CGUAGGGUCCGAGCGUUGUCCGGAAUUAUUGGGCGUAAAGGGCUCGUAGGCGGUUUGUCGCGUCGGGAGUGAAAACAGCCAGCUUAACUGGUUGCUUGCUUUCGAUACGGGCAGACUAGAGGUAUGCAGGGGAGAAUGGAAUUCCUGGUGUAGCGGUGAAAUGCGCAGAUAUCAGGAGGAACACCGGUGGCGAAGGCGGUUCUCUGGGCAUUACCUGACGCUGAGGAGCGAAAGUGUGGGGAGCGAACAGGAUUAGAUACCCUGGUAGUCCACACCGUAAACGUUGGGCGCUAGGUGUGGGACCUAUUCCAUGGGUUCCGUGCCGUAGCUAACGCAUUAAGCGCCCCGCCUGGGGAGUACGGCCGCAAGGCUA
rnacentral:rRNA from 1 species